rnacentral:rRNA from 1 species
AGGAAUUCAAUGGCCGCAGUAUUUUAACUGUGCUAAGGUAGCAUAAUCAUUUGUCUUUUAAUUGAGGGCUGGAAUGAAAGGUUGGACGAGAUAUUAACUUUCUUUAGUUUAAUUUUAAGAAUUUAAUUUUUGAGUUAAAAAGCUUAAAUUUAUUUGUUGGACGAGAAGACCCUAUAGAUCUUUAUAAUUUUAUAUUUUGAUAAUUUGGUGAUUUUAUUUAUUGUAAGUAGAAGAAUUAUUUUGUUGGGGUGACUGUAGAAUUUUAUUAACUUCUAUUAUUUUUAUUUCAUUGAUUGAUGUUUUUUUGAUCCAUAUAUUUAUGAUUAAAAGAUUAAGUUACCUUAGGGAUAACAGCGUAAUUUUUUCGGAGAGUUCAUAUUGAUGAAGGAGUUUGCGACCUCGAUGUUGGAUUAA